rnacentral:pre_miRNA from 1 species
ACCACAUUUGGCCCGUCGGUCUACCGAGCAAUAUCGCCCACUCGGUGGAAUGUCUUCCCUUCGUCGU